AGCAAGGCUACUUUUAUUACUACCACUUCUCUUCAAAAUUUAAACAACACUUAUUAUGCAUAUUGAAAGGCUCUUGUUAAAUUUUAUUUGAAAGCCCAAGAUUUAUGGAUAUUUUAGAUGAGUCAAAGAUGAUGCCAAUAGAUGAGAUUGCGAGAAUAAAGUGAAAUUUAAAAUCUAGAAAGAUAAUGUAGAUUUUUUAAAUUGCAGCUGAUAAAGAAAAUUAUCUCCAUAUUCGAGAUGCAAA
rnacentral:lncRNA from 1 species